CCUAGCUCACCCUGAGCCCGGCCGCCCCUCACCAGAUGGGACCCGAGGCCACGCGACCGUAGAAUGACCUGUCCCAGGCUCCUGCAGGCCUAGGAGGUGAGGCCGGGACUAGAAUUCCGAUUUCUCCCCGAAUAGCAGCAACUCUUUCUGCGGUGCUGGCUGAUAAUUACCCUUUGAAACUAUCAUUUCUUCACAGGAGGAGGGGCCUGCUACCUGAUAGUUCAGUGGCAGGGCUAGACCAUUGUCCUGGCCUCUCAGGGUCCCUAAGACUUAUAUAAACCCACGAUACUUCCAUAACAUUCAAAUUUAAAAAGCUUUAAAUAUAAAAAAUUUUAAAAGAGAGAGGUUACGUGACACAUAUAGUCACGUAUUGUGUAAGAUCUGACUACAACCUCCUGUUGGCAAUGAGAACAAGCACAUGCGGUGACUGCUGGCCACGGGGGGGAGCAGAGAAAAGCCCCAAAGAUUCCAGCCCCCAGCCUCGUUUAUCUGCGCUGUCACCCCAGGCCCACGGGAGUUUGCAGUGGUAGAAAGACGGGAAGAUGGAAGAUUGUGUCGCUGAAACUCAAGGCAGAGAUAGCAGUGGCCUCAACACACCCUCGGAUAAGGAGGUCCGGAUUCUGGGCGGACACAGGUGGACAGUCCUCGUCCUUGUUAUGGGGAAUGUCUGGUCCAAGAGGAGACACACACACAGGUCUGCGCGGGUGAGGGAUGUGGUGAGUUCUGCCACAGGUCAGGCAUGGAAUAUUCUAGAACUCAGAAGAGGGACGUUUUGGGCAGCGUCCUGGAGGAGAUGCAGGUGUACAGACCAGUGGAGAAGGAAAAGAAACCAGCUAGGAGAGUAAGCAGAAUGUGAUGAGGGGCGUGGAGCUGUGUGUGGGCUGCGAGGGCUCAGGGUGGGUGGGCGAGGAGGAGAGGCUGGAGCCUGGCCCGGGGGCCGGGAGCGUUCUCAGCUCCUGGAAUGGGGCCUGGAUCCCAGGGGCACCUGCAGGGAUGGAUUAGAGGGGAGCUGACUGGAGGGGCCUCCUAGACCAGGCGAAUGAGCAGGGGGCUCCCGGAGGGCCAGCUACGUGGGAAGGAGCAGGGCUGGGGACAGAUCCCUUGGGGCUCACCCAGGGAGAGGGGUCGCCGCUCUGAGGGGAGGCUGUUGGGAGGAGACCCCGUGCCCUGACGAGCUCUGCCCCGGAGCCAACAGUGCCCGGCUCAGCUUCGCUUUCUGUGAUCCUGCUCGGAAGCCACACUUGCCGUCUGGCGCUGCCCUGCACGCGGGCAUUGAGCACCUACAGGUGAGCAGCAGGUGGCCGGUUCCAGGCACUGAGGAAGGAAAGAAGGUUCCAGCAGACGCCUCAGGUGGCAGAGCUGAAAGGCCCGGCCCGGUCAGCGUUCAUUGUUGCUGCCUCUGUUUCUGCCGCCCAGCACCCUUCCCCAGGAGGCCGGGUGGGGCCCUCAGCCCGUCCCCAUGCGUGCGGACCACGGAGCCCCUGCCUCCACGGGAAGCAGGCUGCGU
rnacentral:lncRNA from 9 species